rnacentral:rRNA from 1 species
CCUACGGGGUGCAGCAGUGAGGAAUAUUGGUCAAUGGUCGGGAGACUGAACCAGCCAAGCCGCGUGAGGGAUGAAGGUACAGAGUAUCGUAAACCUCUUUUGUCAGGGAACAAAGGCGGGGACGUGUCCCCGGAUGAGUGUACCUGAAGAAAAAGCAUCGGCUAACUCCGUGCCAGCAGCCGCGGUAAUACGGAGGAUGCAAGCGUUAUCCGGAUUUAUUGGGUUUAAAGGGUGCGCAGGGGGGUUGUUAAGUCAGCUGGUAAAAGCCGGGGCUCAACCCCGGGCCGGCCGGUGAAACUGGCAGUCGCGAGGUGGAGAGAAGUAUGCGGAAUGCGCGGUGUAGCGGUGAAAUGCAUAGAUAUCGCGAAGAACUCCGAUUGCGAAGGCAGCAUGCCGGCUCCACACUGACGCUGAGGCACGAAAGCGUGGGGAGCAAACAGGAUUAGAUACCCUGGUAGUC